rnacentral:tRNA from 5 species
GGGCGGGUUGCAGAGUGGCCAAAUGCAUCAGACUGUAAAUCUGACGUCUCCGACUUCGGUGGUUCGAAUCCACCCCCUCCCACCA